CAAUUAUUACUUAAUAUACACAUGCAAGUCUCCGCACCCCUGUGAAAACGCCCUUAAAUCCCCACUAGGGAUAAGGAGCUGGUAUCAGGCACAAUACUUAGCCCAAGACACCUAGCUAUGCCACACCCACACGGGAAUUCAGCAGUGAUUAACAUUGAAAAUAAGCGACAGCUUGACUCAGUUAAAGUAAAAAGAGCCGGCAAAUCUGGUGCCAGCCGCCGCGGUUACACCAUGUGGCCCAAAUUGACCCCCUUCGGCGUAAAGCGUGAUUAAAGUUUUUACUAAAUUAUAGCUGAACUAAAACUAAGCUGUGACACGCUUGUAUUUAGGAAAAUCAAAAACGAAAGUUACUGUAAUUAAAACAACUUGAACCCACGACAGUUGAGACACAAACUGGGAUUAGAUACCCCACUAUGCUUAACCGUAAACUUUAAAUUACACCGAUAUCGCCUGGGAACUACGAGCAAAGCUUAAAACCCAAAGGACUUGACGGUACCCCACAUCCCCCUAGAGGAGCCUGUCCUGUAAUCGACAACCCCCGUUCAACCUCACCAUUUUUAGCCUAUCAGCCUGUAUACCUCCGUCGUCAGCUUACCACGUGAGCGACCCUAAGUGAGCCUAAUGCCCACACGCCAACACGUCAGGUCAAGGUGCAGCAAAUAAAAUGGGAAGAGAUGGGCUACACUCUCUACUGUAGAAGAUACGAAAGACUAUUUAUGAAACCUAGUCGAAAGGCGGAUUUAGUAGUAAAAAGAGACAAGAGCGCUCUUUUUAACACGGCACUGGGGUGUGUACACACCGCCCGUCACCCUCUUCGAAGCUAACAGAAAGUCCAUAACACACCUAAGCACGAUAGAAGAGGCAAGUCGUAACAUGGUAAGUAUACCGGAAGGUGUGCUUGGAAACAAAAUAUAGCUUAACCAAAGCAUCUCGCUUACACCGAGAAAAUAUCUGUUAAACCCGGAUUAUUUUGAGCUAAUAAUCUAGCCCCCCAAUAUCAAAUGAAACCAUUAACUUUAUAACAUAAACUAAAACAUUUUAUAAAUUUAGUAAAGGCGAUUAAAAAAUUGAUAGGAGCUAUAAAAAAGUACCGCAAGGGAAA
rnacentral:ncRNA from 1 species